UGAUCUUGCCUUUGAGGCUUGAGGAGAUGAUCCCAGGAUUGGGGAUUUGUUUGCGUAAUCCUUAUGUAGCACUUGAGCUAUAGAAUCCAACUAUGGAUGGCUUCUCCUAGAUUCUUUUCCGUGUCACCUCUAGGGAUCUCCAGUUCCAAGUCAUCCCAACCGUCGACCACUCAAUCCACCCCAACUUUGGCAUAAAUGCGAGCUGGAAUCUCCACGCCAUGAAUUAUUUCACCUUGUGUCAAUUGUUUAGCCACACCAUAAGCC
rnacentral:lncRNA from 1 species